AUUUGAUCUGAAAUCAGGCGGGAUUACCCGCU
rnacentral:rRNA from 1 species